rnacentral:rRNA from 1 species
UUAGAGUUUGAUCAUGGCUCAGAGCGAACGCUGGCGGCAGGCUUAACACAUGCAAGUCGAGCGGGCGUAGCAAUACGUCAGCGGCAGACGGGAGAGUAACACGUGGGAACGCGCCCUUCGGUUCGGAAUAACUCAGGGAAACUUGAGCUAAUACCGGAUACGCCCUAACGGGGAAAGAUUUAUCGCCGAAGGAACGGCCCGCGUCUGAUUAGCUAGUUGGUGAGGUAAUGGCUCACCAAGGCGACGAUCAGUAGCUGGUCUGAGAGGAUGGCCAGCCUCACUGGGACUGAGACACGGCCCAGACUCCUACGGGAGGCAGCAGUGGGGAAUAUUGGACAAUGGGCGCAAGCCUGAUCCAGCCAUGCCGCGUGGAUGAUGAAGGCCCUAGGGUUGUAAAGUCCUUUUAACGGGGAAGAUAAUGACGGUACCCGUAGAAUAAGCCCCGGCUAACUUCGUGCCAGCAGCCGCGGUACGCC